GGACCGGCCAUUUAGCACGUCUGUGUGCGGGCUACCGAGCCAGCCAACAACCCUCCCACACACGGAGUCUGUCCAAAAGCGAAAGUUACUACGAAAGUACAGCGAAACUCCCGGACAAGAACUAGCCACCGAGGUGAAUCCUAUCCUGGGUCAAAACCCGUAACCGUAAAAUCGGUUCAUUUCUGUUCCGGACCUAUCCGGUCCAAUCCGGGCCGGACAGGUCCGGUUUCCUCCGGUGUCCCGCAGCUGGAGACUUUAAACGGACGGUGGGCGCACUGACCUCGGGCGGACCGCGGCUGCAUUUCGGGGACUUCAAGUGCAAGUUAUGCGUUUUUUUCCAAGAAACUACAAGAAUCAAAGUGACACGACUUGGUUCCAAAAAUGAACUAGAAGCAUCAGCUGACCUCGUGAGUACUUGCAGAUGAAGUUGUUCUUGGUGUUACAGUUGUCGUCGUUCCACUGGAACAUGUAGAGGCCACCAAGGCCUGGAGGAGCUGAGGGCUGGUGGUACAUGACCACGCACACCUCAUACCCGCACGAUGGCUCGUCCCAGUGCCAAUUCCUGCAGUGCACAAACUCUGUUCAGUGACUGCCGUGACAGUGCCGAAGCUCAACUGCAACAUGAUCAGACCUCAAAUAGCCUGCAACCAAGGUUUCUAGCUAGUGGUCAGCGGACAUCGCUAUUAACCAGCACCGGUAAUUCCGCAUCGGUCGAGCGUGGGACAUCAGACUCGAAUCAAAUGUCGUGGAUGUUAUGGGGCUGUAUUGGACCUGAAGGCGGCCUUGCUGCCAUCCAGCCAGUGGUACUGCUCCGGGCAGUCACUGCUGGCCUCCUGCG